GCCAAUUUAAAAUGGCUUCUAGUUUUUUGGGUUCCAUUUGAAAGCCGGAACCAGAAAUUAUGUAACCCAAGAAAUUAACCUUCUCCACGUCAAAUAAACAUUUUUCUAAUUUGCAGUAAAGUCCGUUCUUUAAUAAUUUGGAUAAUACUAUUCUGACAUGCCUAUGGUGCUCCUUGAUAUUCUUUGAGUAGAUGAGUAUGUCAUCUAAAUAAACAACAAC